rnacentral:rRNA from 1 species
UUGAUCCUGGCUCAGAAUGAACGCUGGCGGCAUGGAUUAGGCAUGCAAGUCGAACGGUAGACGCGACUUCGGUUGCGUUGAGAGUGGCGAAAGGGUGAGUAACGCGUGAGCAAUUUGCCCCCGAGACGGAGAUAGCCCCGGGAAACCGGGAUUAAUAUCCGAUGCGGAUGCGCUUCGCAUGGAGCGCGGUCCAAAGUUUUUCGCUCGGGGAUGAGCUCGCGUCCCAUUAGCUUGUUGGUGAGGUAACGGCCCACCAAGGCGAAGACGGGUAGCUGGUCUGAGAGGACGACCAGCCACACUGGGACUGAGACACUGCCCAGACUCCUACGGGAGGCUGCAGUCGAGAAUCAUCCGCAAUGGGCGCAAGCCUGACGGUGCGAUGCCGCGUGAGGGAUGACGGCCUUCGGGUUGUAAACCUCUGCCAGAGGGGACGAAUAUUUGACGGUACCCUCAGAGGAAGCCACGGCUAACUACGUGCCAGCAGCCGCGGUAAUACGUAGGUGGCGAGCGUUAUUCGGAUUUACUGGGCGUAAAGGGUCCGCAGGGGGUCUGCCAAGUCCGGUGUGAAAAGCCGCGGCUCAACCGCGGUCGUGCAUCGGAAACUGGCGGACCCGAGUACAUGAGGGGAAAGCGGAAUUCCUGGUGUAGCGGUGGAAUGCGUAGAUAUCAGGAAGAACACCGGCGGCGAAGGCGGCUUUCUGGCAUGUAACUGACCCUGAGGGACGAAAGCGUGGGUAGCGAACAGGAUUAGAUACCCUGGUAGUCCACGCUGUAAACGUUGUGCGCUCGAUGUGGGACCUGUCGUUUCGGCGGGUUCCGUGUCCAAGCCAACGCGUUAAGCGCACCGCCUGGGGACUACGGUCGCAAGGCUAAAACUCAAAGGAAUUGACGGGGGCCCGCACAAGCGGUGGAGCAUGUGGCUUAAUUCGAGGCAACGCGAAGAACCUUACCUGGGUUUGACAUUGAGCGACCGGUGCAGAGAUGCACCUUUCCUUCGGGACGCGAAAACAGGUGCUGCAUGGCUGUCGUCAGCUCGUGCCGUGAGGUGUUCGGUUAAGUCCGGCAACGAGCGCAACCCGUGUCGUCAGUUGCCAGCAGGUGAUGCUGGGCACUCUGGCGAGACUGCCCGUGUCAAGCGGGAGGAAGGCGCGGAUGACGUCAAGUCCGUAUGGCCCUUACAUCCAGGGCUGCACACGUGCUACAAUGGGCGGCACAAUGGGAAGCCAAGCCGCGAGGUGGAGCGAAUCCCCAAAACCGCCCCCAGUUCGGAUCGGAGUCUGCAAUUCGACUCCGUGAAGUUGGAAUCGCUAGUAAAGGCGUAUCAGCAACGAUGCCUUGAAUACGUUCCCGGGCCUUGUACACACCGCCCGUCACAUCAUGGAAGCCGGCUGCACCCGAAGC